AGUUGUAUUAACACAUGUGGACGGAAUAGGUGUGUGUGUGUGUCGUGUUUGACUUUUGGUUCUAUGAUAGUGGAUUAAGGACAGUAAUAAGGUGUAAAAAUAUAAGGUAGUGUAUAGUUCUCAAUUGCAGUGUCGUUCAUAAUGACUAACAUUUGUCCCCUUUUCCAAUUAAUGAUACCAGUUAUAUAAUCAUUAUUAAAAGUAAUAAGGCCUGUCUAUUUACAUUGAUAUGCAACCUUAACUGUGCACAUUUCUGCGUUAUAAGAUCUAACAAUUUUCUGUGAACCUUUAAACAAACAUAAUGCAUCGGUUUCAUUAGCUGUGGACACAUUCCAUAUGGGUAACUGGUACUUAUAAGGGUUACUAUUUGUCCAAUUCAUCCAAAUGCGUUCAGUGAAUGAAUGAUUGCAUAUUGCAUGCUAAUAGAAAGGUGGUGGAGAAAGGUUCUUGAGGGGGCGUGUGUGACGAAUGCUAGAUGAGGGGCUAAGGCCUAAUUGGGCUGGGGGUAUUGAAGAAUUGUUCAUCAUGUCAGAGUCUUUUUCCAGAAACAGACAGGUUUCAAACUUGCUAUUGACUUGUACUCAUAAUGGCAUUCAAGGAACAAUAUCAGAGGGAGUAUAACAACUCCAGAAAGCAUAGCGCACAACAUAAUCUUGGUCUCAGGUACGUAUGAUCCUCUCAAUCUACGAUAUGGUGUAAAAGCCAUGAUGCUUCGCUGAGGAGAAAUUCUUCUGUUUCCGAGCGAGGAGUGGUGUUGUCUUCCUUGGUUCCCCUCUUUGGACACAGCUUCACUCGGGAUGCGUGAAUCCAGAUGUGGUGGGAAUCUGUGAGGACAGCGGUUCUGGUUACAGCAAUCACAGUAGCAGGUGGUCCAAAAGGGUAUUCUCCUUUCUUGGUCCUGUUCAGCUGACGGAUAUACACCUUGUCACCGGGCUGGUAUGAAUGAGUAGGUUCCUGUGAAGGUAAGGGAAAACUGCGAAGAAACAUUGUCAUACAUACCAUUCAGUUUUAUCAACAACUCCUGUACAUAUUGUUCUUGUAUUAGCUGUAAAUCCCCAGACAUUAUAACAAGCAGUUCCCUGGCCUAGGGUGUGGGAAAAGGUCAUCCCAUCAAAAUCUCAAAUGGAGAUAAUUUAGUCACCUUGUGGGGAUUCAUUCUUAUCUCAGCUAAAAUAGUUGGUAGAUAUCUAGUCCAAUUUACCCAUGUUCCUGGGUAAAUUCUGGGCUUUUCCUUAAUAGUCCUAUUCAUCCUUUCAACAACCCCUGUAUUCUGUGGAUGAUAGGGUAUAUGAAACUGCCAGGUAACUUGCAAGAAUUUAGCAAGUUCCUGGGCAACCCCACUUGCAAAAACCGGGCCAUUAUCAGAGCCAAUCUGCAGAGGGCAGCAAUACCGGGGAAUAAUUUCAGUAACAAUAAUCUUCACUAGCAUCUUCCCUAGAUGUCACAAAGGCCUCAUGCCAUCUACUAAACUGAUUAACUAUGACCAGUAAGUAUUGCUGUUUCUUACCAAU